AUUAAUAAUUAAUUCGGGCGAUGGCGAUGAUGUGCGGCCAAAUCGAAAUUCUGAAAUCAUUUGCCGAACAUCCUCGCCACUAUCCAGUUAAUUACAAGC